rnacentral:lncRNA from 1 species
GCUAUCCCUGGGCUGGUAGUCCUGAGUUUAAUAAAAAGCAAGCUGAGUAAGCCAGGGGAAGCAAGCCAGUAAGGAACAUCCCUCCAUGACUUCUGUUGCAGCUCCUGCUUUCUGAACUGCUUGAGUUCCAGUCCUGACUUCCUUUGGUGAUGAACAGCGAUGUAGAAGUGUUGCAGAGGGGCACAUAUGGUGCCAGUUCCCAUGGCUGCACAUCUGGAGCAAGGCAGAGACAGGGACAGUUAUGUCUGAGCGAGCUGUGAGCAGAGGAUGGUGAAUCCCGAAUCUAGGAGCAGCAUUUUUAUCCGGUCAGAAAAGGUUACAAGAUAUUAAAGAAUUUAGCCAAGAACACAAAGUUGAAAAAAUUGGUAGAUGAGACUCAAUUCUAAGAGCUGGUGAGCUGGUAUAGGCCAUAAUGAACAAGGGAAACAU